AUUGAACGCUGGCGGCAGGCUUAACACAUGCAAGUCGAACGAGUGGCGGACGGGUGAGUAAUGUCUGGGAAACUGCCCGAUGGAGGGGGAUAACUACUGGAAACGGUAGCUAAUACCGCAUACUAUCGGAUGAACCCAUAUGGGAUUAGCUAGUAGGUGGGGUAAAGGCUCACCUAGGCGACGAUCUCUAGCUGGUCUGAGAGGAUGAUCAGCCACACUGGGACUGAGACACGGCCCAGACUCCUACGGGAGGCAGCAGUGGGGAAUAUUGCACAAUGGGCGCAAGCCUGAUGCAGCCCUGCCGCGUGUAUGAAGAAGGCCUUAGGGUUUUAAAGUACUUUCAGCGGGGAGGCGUUACCCGCAGAAGAAGCACCGGCUAACUCCGUGCCAGCAGCCGCGGUAAUAC
rnacentral:rRNA from 1 species